rnacentral:rRNA from 1 species
CCAUGCCGCGUGCAGGAUGACGGUCCUAUGGAUUGUAAACUGCUUUUGUACAGGAAGAAACACCUCUACGUGUAGAGACUUGACGGUACUGUAAGAAUAAGGAUCGGCUAACUCCGUGCCAGCAGCCGCGGUAAUACGGAGGAUCCAAGCGUUAUCCGGAAUCAUUGGGUUUAAAGGGUCCGUAGGCGGUCUUAUAAGUCAGUGGUGAAAUCUCCCCGCUCAACGGGGAAACGGCCAUUGAUACUGUAAGACUUGAAUUAUUAGGAAGUAACUAGAAUAUGUAGUGUAGCGGUGAAAUGCUUAGAGAUUACAUGGAAUACCAAUUGCGAAGGCAGGUUACUACUAAUGGAUUGACGCUGAUGGACGAAAGCGUGGGUAGCGAACAGGAUUAGAUACCCUGGUAGUCCACGCCGUAAACGAUGGGUACUAGCUGUUGGGCGCAAGUUCAGUGGCUAAGCGAAAGUGAUAAGUAUCCCACCUGGGGAGUACGUUCGCAAGAAUGAAACUCAAAGGAAUUGACGGGGGCCCGCACAAGCGGUGGAGCAUGUGGUUUAAUUCGAUGAUACGCGAGGAACCUUACCAAGGCUUAAAUGUAGAUUGACCGGUUUGGAAACAGACUUUUCGCAAGACAAUUUACAAGGUGCUGCAUGGUUGUCGUCAGCUCGUGCCGUGAGGUGUCAGGUUAAGUCCUAUAACGAGCGCAACCCCUGUUGUUAGUUGCCAGCGAGUCAUGUCGGGAACUCUAACGAGACUGCCAGUGCAAACUGAGAGGAAGGUGGGGAUGACGUCAAAUCAUCACGGGCCCUUACGCCUUGGGGCUACACACGUGCU